rnacentral:lncRNA from 1 species
GGCGUUCAUGGCCCAGGUAAGUCAGGGGUUAACCAGGACCCUGGGGAUUAAUUGGAAGUUACAUUGUGCUUAUAGACCCCAGAGCUCAGGACAGGUAGAAAAAAUGAAUAGAACCAUUAAAGAGACCUUAACGAAAUUAAGCUUAGAGACCGGCAUAAAAGAUUGGACUAUGCUCCUGCCUUAUGCACUGUUUCAUACAAGAAAUACUCCCUCUGUUUCUUUGUGUAACCUCACCCCCUAUGAAAUUCUCUAUGGUGCCCCUCCUCCAGUAAGGGACCUAACCCCAACUCUAAGACCUAACGAUCCCUUCCACACCCCCUUGCUUGACAGACUUAAAGCUCUUGAAAAAACUCAGUGAUACCUGUGGAAACAGCUGGCCACUGCCUACCAACCUGGAGACGAAGGAACUCCACACCGAUAUUAAGUGGGAAACUUCAUCUAUGUAAUAUGACAUCAGGUGUCAUCCCUGGAACCCCACUGGAAAGGACCAUACCAGGUGCUACUUAUAACACCUACAGCGGUAAAGGUAGACGGAAUCACUUCCUGGAUCCAUGCCUCUCAUCUCAAGCCUGCGCCCUGUCCAGACUCUGGCUGGAAAUUGGAAAAGACUGGUAACCCUCUCAAAUUGCAUAUUCACCGUGUGGAUAAGGCUAUGGACUCUCCCCUUGACCACCAGUAGUCCUAACCCUCAUCAGCCCGUUCAGCAGCGAUGGCU